AGAUCAUAACCCUGUUCCCAUCAUUGCUAACUUCAUCAUGGACCUUUUUACCUUCAAAAGACAUUCACUCUAUAAAAGACAUCAGUGGAUUAAUGAAAGGUAGCAAGACAUUUAUGGCUGAGGCAAUGAACUUUCUCCUUUCAUUUUUGGAAGAAUCCAGGCAAAGACCAUGUUAUCAGCUAUGCAAAGAGG